UCGAGCGGUAGAGAGAAGCUUGCUUUUCUUGAGAGCGGCGGACGGGUGAGUAAUGCCUAGGAAUCUGCCUGGUAGUGGGGGAUAACGUUCGGAAACGGACGCUAAUACCGCAUACGUCCUACGGGAGAAAGCAGGGGACCUUCGGGCCUUGCGCUAUCAGAUGAGCCUAGGUCGGAUUAGCUAGUUGGUGAGGCAACGGCUCACCAAGGCGACGAUGCGUAGCCGACCUGAGAGGGUGACCGGCCACACUGGGACUGAGACACGGCCCAGACUCCUACGGGAGGCAGCAGUAGGGAAUCCUCCGCAAUGGACGAAAGUCUGACGGAGCAACGCCGCGUGAGCGAAGAAGGUCUUCGGAUCGUAAAGCUCUGUUGUCAGGGAAGAACAAGUGCCGUUCGAACAGGGCGGUACCUUGACGGUACCUGACGAGGAAGCCACGGCUAACUACGUGCCAGCAGCCGCGGUAAU
rnacentral:rRNA from 1 species